rnacentral:rRNA from 1 species
UCCGACUUCAUGGGGUCGAGUUGCAGACCCCAAUCCGAACUGAGACCGGCUUUUUGGGAUUCGCUCCACCUUACGGUAUCGCAGCCCUCUGUACCGGCCAUUGUAGCAUGCGUGAAGCCCAAGACAUAAGGGGCAUGAUGAUUUGACGUCAUCCCCACCUUCCUCCGAGUUGACCCCGGCAGUCUCCCAUGAGUCCCCGGCAUAACCCGCUGGCAACAUAGGACGAGGGUUGCGCUCGUUGCGGGACUUAACCCAACAUCUCACGACACGAGCUGACGACAACCAUGCACCACCUGUGUACGAGUGUCCAAAGAGAACCCCGUCUCGGGGGCUUUCUCGUACAUGUCAAGCCUUGGUAAGGUUCUUCGCGUUGCAUCGAAUUAAUCCGCAUGCUCCGCCGCUUGUGCGGGCCCCCGUCAAUUCCUUUGAGUUUUAGCCUUGCGGCCGUACUCCCCAGGCGGGGCACUUAAUGCGUUAGCUGCGGCACGGAACUCGUGGAAUGAGCCCCACACCUAGUGCCCAACGUUUACGGCAUGGACUACCAGGGUAUCUAAUCCUGUUCGCUCCCCAUGCUUUCGCUCCUCAGCGUCAGUUGCGGCCCAGAGACCUGCCUUCGCCAUCGGUGUUCCUCCUGAUAUCUGCGCAUUCCACCGCUACACCAGGAAUUCCAGUCUCCCCUACCGCACUCUAGUCUGCCCGUACCCGAUGCAAGCCCGAGGUUGAGCCUCGGGAUUUCACACCAGACGCGACAGACCGCCUACGAGCUCUUUACGCCCAAUAAUUCCGGACAACGCUUGCGCCCUACGUAUUACCGCGGCUGCUGGCACGUAGUUAGCCGGCGCUUCUUCUGCAGGUACCGUCACUUGCGCUUCUUCCCUGCUGAAAGAGGUUUACAACCCGAAGGCCGUCAUCCCUCACGCGGCGUCGCUGCAUCAGGCUUGCGCCCAUUGUGCAAUAUUCCCCACUGCUGCCUCCCGUAGGAGUCUGGGCCGUGUCUCAGUCCCAGUGUGGCCGGUCGCCCUCUCAGGCCGGCUACCCGUCGACGCCUUGGUAGGCCAUCACCCCACCAACAAGCUGAUAGGCCGCGAGCCCAUCCCCCACCGAAAAACUUUCCAACCCACACCAUGCGAUGCGAGCUCAUAUCCGGUAUUAGACCCCGUUUCCAAGGCUUAUCCCGAAGUGGAGGGCAGGUUGCUCACGUGUUACUCACCCGUUCGCCACUGAUCCACCCAGCAAGCUGGGCUUCAC